GCUGCGGGCUCCGGACUUUGACAAUCCCCGAGUGCGAUCCCAGGUCAGGCGGGACUACCCGCUGAGUUUAAGCAUAUCAAUAAGCGGAGGAAAAGAAACUAACGAGGAUUCCCUUAGUAGCGGCGAGCGAAUCGGGAAGAGCCCAGCAUGAAAAUCGUCCGUCAUCGGCGGCCGAAUUGUAGUCUGGAGAAGCGUCCUCAGUGACGGACCGGACCCAAGUUCACUGGAAGGUGGCGCCGGAGAGGGUGAGAGCCCC
rnacentral:rRNA from 1 species